GACGAACGCUGGCGGCGUGCUUAACACAUGCAAGUCGAACGGAAAGGCCCUGCUUUUGUGGGGUGCUCGAGUGGCGAACGGGUGAGUAACACGUGAGUAACCUGCCCUUGACUUUGGGAUAACUUCAGGAAACUGGGGCUAAUACCGGAUAGGAGCUCCUGCUGCAUGGUGGGGGUUGGAAAGUUUCGGCGGUUGGGGAUGGACUCGCGGCUUAUCAGCUUGUUGGUGGGGUAGUGGCUUACCAAGGCUUUGACGGGUAGCCGGCCUGAGAGGGUGACCGGCCACAUUGGGACGGAGAUACGGCCCAGACUCCUACGGGAGGCAGCAGUGGGGAAUAUUGCACAAUGGGCGGAAGCCUGAUGCAGCAACGCCGCGUGCGGGAUGACGGCCUUCGGGUUGUAAACCGCUUUCGCCUGUGACGAAGCGUGAGUGACGGUAAUGGGUAAAGAAGCACCGGCUAACUAC
rnacentral:rRNA from 1 species